AACCAGAGCCAUAUCACUUUGCAGUUCUAGUCUGUUGUCUGGUGACUGAAGCCAAGCUAAUUUGAGCCUGGGCAGUACCUGGAUGGGAGACCUCCUGGGGAAAACUAAAGUUGCUUUUGGAA
rnacentral:rRNA from 1 species